rnacentral:lncRNA from 1 species
AUGACUGUGGUCUUAGAAGAAAGACAUUACCUGGAGGAAGUUGAAAGCCAGCAUGCAGAGAAGGAAGACUACGGAAGGGCUCAGGCAGCUACACAGCUCUGCAGAACAAAAUGUUCUUGUCCAGGCCAUGGGGCCACAGGCUGGGACAGAGGGGAGGAACAAUGA